rnacentral:lncRNA from 1 species
UUCUGAUGACACCAUCGAACAUCUUGAUUCGGAUUGAACCAAUCCCUGCAAUUUUAUAUGGUGCAUCAUCGCCCAUUAAAACAGAACCACCUUCGAUAGGUUGAUAGUUGAUAAACCGACUUCUGUUUGGACUCAUGCGAAAAGUACACGCUGAGUCAAGAAUCCAUUCGUCAUUGGUUUUGGCACAUCCGGCAAAAGCUACAAGAACUUCUCCGUUGGAAUUUUCUUCAACAGCAUAGGAUGCUUUUCCUUCAUCAUCUUGACUUGGUUUUGAGUUGUUGGUGGAAGC